UGCACAUUUUCCACGCAGAUGAGCUAAAAAGACUAGUUACAGAUUUAGUUGCCGAUCUUGGUUCUGACACUAGGGAGGGAGAAUGUGAAAAAGAGUGUAACCAUCUCGUAGACACCCAGUUUAGUGGUACAGUCAACGUCCUGUCACAUCAAGUUUGUCCUCUGGCUUGUCAUUCGUUGCAGGAACUGACCCACUUCUUCCAUAUUGGUCCUCACACGACUACCGCCAGUGUGUAAUGCGAAAAAUAUCUGACUAGACAUGGAUUUAAAUUUCUUUCGUUUAUGUCAAUAAGCGGAUGAGAUAAACUGUUCGUUAAUGUAAAUAUUGGUUGUAACGUAUCAAAUAAACUUACCGAAACA